AUUGAACGCUGGCGGCGCGCCUAAUACAUGCAAGUCGAGCGAGAAGACGUAGCAAUACGUUUGUAAAGCGGCGAACGGGUGAGGAAUACAUGGGUAACCUGCCCUCGAGUGGGGAAUAACUAGCCGAAAGGUUAGCUAAUACCGCGUACGCUUCUUGGACUUCGGUUCAGGGAGGAAAGCGAUACCGUGGGUAUCGCGCUCUUGGAUGGGCUCAUGUCCUACCAGCUUGUUGGUGAGGUAACGGCUCACCAAGGCUUCGACGGGUAGCUGGUCUGAGAGGACGAUCAGCCACACUGGCACUGCGACACGGGCCAGACUCCUACGGGAGGCAGCAGUAAGGAAUAUUGCGCAAUGGGCGAAAGCCUGACGCAGCGACGCCGCGUGGGGGAUGAAGGC
rnacentral:rRNA from 1 species